UACGAAGGGGGCUAGCGUUGCUCGGAAUUACUGGGCGUAAAGGGCGCGUAGGCGGAUAUCUAAGUUGGGGGUGAAAUCCCGGGGCUCAACCUCGGAAUUGCCUUCAAAACUGGAUAUCUUGAGUUCGGGAGAGGUGAGUGGAACUCCGAGUGUAGAGGUGAAAUUCGUAGAUAUUCGGAAGAACACCAGUGGCGAGGGCGGCUCACUGGCCCGAUACUGACGCUGAGGUGCGAAAGCGUGGGGAGCAAACAGG
rnacentral:rRNA from 1 species